rnacentral:lncRNA from 1 species
GCGAUUUCAAUCAGUAAGGGUAAGCUGAGGCGAACUGGAUAUUUGUAGCGAUAACUUGGCGAGUCGCGAUUUCAACCGGUAAGGGUAAGCUUUGGUACUCGGCGAGUCACGAUUUCAACCGGUAAGGGUAAGCUUUGGAAUUUUUUAAAAAGGUGAGUCACAAUUUCAACUGGUAAGGGUAAGCUUUGGAUUUUUUUAAAAAGUUGGGGGCAUAUUUGUUGCCUAUAGGGUUCAUAACACGUUACUCACACUCAUAGGAUCUCAACAUGAGGUACACAUGUCACACAUGC